rnacentral:rRNA from 1 species
CCUACGGGUGGCAGCAGCAAGGAAUUUUCCCCAAUGGGCGCAAGCCUGAGGGAGCAACGCCGCGUGCAGGACGACGGCCUUCGGGUUGUAAACUGCUUUUGGGGGGGAAGAUGAUGACGGUACCCCCCGAAGAAGCCCCGGCUAACUCCGUGCCAGCAGCCGCGGUAAGACGGAGGGGGCAAGCGUUGUCCGGACUUACUGGGCGUAAAGCGCACGUAGGCGGCCCGAUGCGUCGAUGCUGAAAGGGCCCCGCUUAACGGGGUCAGGCGUGUCGAUACGAUCAGGCUCGAGGCAGGCAGAGGGUGGCGGAAUUCCGGGUGUAGUGGUGAAAUGCGUAGAGAUCCGGAGGAACGCCUGUGGCGCAAGCGGCCACCUGGGCCUGACCUGACGCUGAGGUGCGACAGCGUGGGGAGCGAACCGGAUUAGAUACCCUAGUAGUCC